rnacentral:rRNA from 1 species
AGAACGAACGCUGGCGGCAUGCCUAACACAUGCAAGUCGAACGCUUCCGGGGCUUCGGUCGCGGAGGAGUGGCGCACGGGUGAGUAGCGCGUGGGAACCUGCCCUGUUGUGGGGGAUAACCGAGGGAAACUUCGGCUAAUACCGCAUACGCCCCGGGACUUGGUCUUCGGAUUAGGUCUGGGGGGAAAGAUUGAUCGCAGCAGGAGGGGCCCGCGUCGGAUUAGCUGGUUGGUGGGGUAACGGCUCACCAAGGCGAUGAUCCGUAGCUGGUCUGAGAGGAUGAUCAGCCACACUGGGACUGAGACACGGCCCAGACUCCUACGGGAGGCAGCAGUGGGGAAUAUUGGACAAUGGGGGCAACCCUGAUCCAGCAAUGCCGCGUGAGUGAUGAAGGCCUUAGGGUUGUAAAGCUCUUUCGCCCGCGACGAUGAUGACGGUAGCGGGAGAAGAGCCCGGCUAACUCGUGCAGCAGCCGC